UGGGGGAUAGAGUAAUGGUUAUCUCGGCAGGCUCAUGACCUGGAGAUGUUGGUUCGAAUCCGGCUCCCCUG
rnacentral:tRNA from 1 species